rnacentral:rRNA from 1 species
UCUGGUACCUUGGUGCCCGAGUUGUAAUUUGGAGAAAGUGAUUCUGGGAUUAGCUCUUACCUAUGUUCCUUGGAACAGGACGUCAUAGAGGGUGAGAACCCCGUGAGGUGAGGGAUCUAAUUCUUUAUAGAGCACUUUCGAAGAGUCGAGUUGUUUGGGAAUGCAGCUCUAAGUGGGUGGUAAAUUCCAUCUAAAGCUAAAUACAGGCGAGAGACCGAUAGCGAACAAGUACAGUGAUGGAAAGAUGAAAAGAACUUUGAAAAGAGAGUGAAAAAGGACGUGAAAUUGUUGAAAGGGAAGGGCAUUUGAUCAGACAUGGUGUUUUGUGCCCCUUACUCCUUGUGGGUGAGGCUCGCAGCUCACUGGGCCAGCAUCAGUUUUGGCGGCAGGAUAAAUCCUUGGGAAUGUGACUCCUUAGUGAAUGUUAU